rnacentral:rRNA from 1 species
AUCUGGGCGGCGGAAUUCAGGACGGCUGGGCGGGUCUCGCGCUCGUUCGGCCGUUUGAUAUUUCCGUCGCCGUGUCAGACGUCGCGACCUGUUCGUCGUCGGUCCUUGCUCGGAGGAAGCGCGAUCGAGUUCGUUGCGGGCGCGUUUCGGCGCGUUCCGCGGCGAAGACGCGACUCUCUGGCUGACGACGGACAGUAAGCAACGGUGUCCGGCGUCGUGUCUCGCACUCGACGUCGGUGCCGGUCGGCGACGAUUUCUUCGGGCCUCUUUCCGACCCGUCUUGAAACACGGACCAAGGAGUCUAACAUGCGCGCGAGUCGCGGGGUUUCGAGCGUGCCACGGUGCGCUCGUUACUUCCGAAACCCGUACGUUGAAGGCGUAAUGAAAGUGAACAGGGAAGAUGGCGUUCCGAGUCCACGUACCGUGAUCGAGUAUCGCGGCCGGACGUCCGCACUCCCGGGGCGUCUCAAUGGCUCGCCACGGAUGCGGACGGUCGUCUUUCGGGGCGGCCGUCGGUCUGUGGCGGUCCGA